rnacentral:rRNA from 1 species
GACAGAGGGUGCAAACGUUGUUCGGAAUUACUGGGCGUAAAGCGCGUGUAGGCGGCAGGGCAUGUCGGAUGUGAAAUCCCGUGGCUCAACCACGGAAGUGCACCCGAAACUGCCCAGCUUGAGUCUCGGAGAGGAAGGCGGAAUGCUUGGUGUAGAGGUGAAAUUCGUAGAUAUCAAGCGGAACACCGGUGGCGAAGGCGGCAUCCUGGACCGGUAUUGACACUGAAAAGCGAAAGCCAGGGGAGCAAACGGG